ACACUUACCCCAUGAGGGAGAUCACAUGAUCAUGAAUGUGUUUUUUCCCAGGGUCAGUCUUAUCCACUGUGUUCUAGGUAUGUUUAUCCCUGUAAGUUCUUCAAAGAUAGGAACAUUGGCUUGCACCCUGUGAUGGUGAAUACUGUAUUUGUGCUCUUCCCUG